CUGGUUGAUCCUGCCGGACCCGACUGCUAUCGGAGUGAGACUAAGCCAUGCGAGUCGUGCGCUCCGGGCUGGCGGAGCGCGGCGUACGGCUCAGUAACACGUGGAUAACCUACCCUUAGGUGGGGGAUAACCUCGGGAAACUGAGGAUAAUACCCCAUAGAUCCAGGAGGCUGGAAUGCACCUGGAUCGAAAGCUCCGGCGCCUAAGGAUGGGUCUGCGGCCUAUCAGGUUGUAGUGGGGGUAACGGCCCCACUAGCCUACGACGGGUACGGGUUGUGAGAGCAAUAGCCCGGAGAUGGACUCUGAGACACGAGUCCAGGCCCUACGGGGCGCAGCAGGCGCGAAACCUCCGCAAUGCGCGAAAGCGCGACGGGGGGAUUCCAAGUGCUGGCUCGUAAGAGUCAGCUGUCCUCGAGCCUAAAAAGCUCGAGAAGAAAGGGCUGGGUAAGACGGGUGCCAGCCGCCGCGGUAAUACCCGUAGCUCAAGUGGUGGCCACUAUUAUUGGGCCUAAAACGUCCGUAGCCGGUCUGGUAAAUGCCUGGGUAAAUCGCAAGGCUUAACCUUGCGAAUUCUAGGUAGACUGCCAGACUUGGGACCGGGAGAGGCUGGAGGUACUCCCAGGGUAGGGGUGAAAUCCUGUAAUCCUGGGGGGACCACCUGUGGCGAAAGCGUCCAGCCAGAACGGGUCCGACGGUGAGGGACGAAGCCCAGGGGCGCAAACCGGAUUAGAUACCCGGGUAGUCCUGGGUGUAAACGCUGCUCGCUUGAUGUUAGGUAGGCUCCGGGCCUACCUAGUGUCGGAGAGAAGUUGUUAAGCGAGCUGCCUGGGGAGUACGGCCGCAAGGCUGAAACUUAAAGGAAUUGGCGGGGGAGCACUGCAACGGGUGGAGCGUGCGGUUUAAUUGGAUUCAACGCCGG
rnacentral:rRNA from 1 species